CUGCCAUGAAGAUCUAGGGUCCCAGUCAAUUUCACACUGCUGAUGGUGCUAAACGUAAAGUGCUUAUGCAUAGGAGAACAAUUCAAAUCAAUUUUCCUUCCACAGCAACUGGCAUCUGAAUACUUGUGACUUCAAGGUGAUAGUGUGUGAAUGUGUGCAUCAAUGUUCUGAAGGAGUUUUGACUAACUUGCUUAUUUCCACUUUAUUUUCAGCACUGAAGUUAUUAAUGAAAAUAUGCUAUUUGUUAAUCUGUUUCACAAAUGGACUAAGGAAUACUGUCAAGUAAAAAAUCUGCUUCAAAUUUCAGAACUACUCAUGGGCUAUUCAGUGGGAUUAAAGUGGUAGAAUCUGGACCUAAACAGAGCCAUCAAUCCUAAUGAAAAUGGACACUAAGAUGAAGCAUCCAGUGAACAGACAUGGAAGACGGCAUGAGAACUGCAUCAGAGAGACCAACUGGCGGCUUCAGCAGUGGUGUCUUGAGGCAGGCUUCGGCUUCCUGGACAACGACCUGCACAUUACAAUGAGGGACAUGCUCAGCUGGGAUGGGCUUCACCUGUCCCCCAAAGGGGCAGACCUUGCGUGACCCGAGUGACAGGAGGCAUGCCCAGGCAAGGGUCAGCCCCUGGCGUAUUGAGCAUGUGUGCUCCAUGCAGGGAUGUGCAGUUUCGGGUGUCUAUCAUGGUGAGAGUUGCUGGGUCUGCAGGGUCUUUUGUCUUUCAAAGUUUGGUCUUGUCUCUGUUCCUGAGUGAGGGCCGUGGUUCCUGGAUGAAUCAAUGCGAGGUGAUGGCCCAGUCAUUACAGGCCAUUCAGUAGAGGCCUCCUACCAUUGUAUUUCAGUCAUUCCCAAUUAUUCUCAUUCAUCCGGUAGCCAAUUUACAUGGGAGGGGUAUGUGACUCAUACAGUUGCAAAGUGGGAUGCCCAGGCAGAGGACACAAGAUGGAGACUUGACAUUUAAAAUGGAAACUUGACAUGGCUUUGGUUCACUUACAAAUACAGGCCUAACCCAUACAAUAUACAUAUGAAACAAUAACAAUCGAUAUGAAAAUGAUAAUAAUACAAUAUACAACAGUAAAAAUCAAUACAAACCUAAUAAUAAUGCAAUAUAAAACAGUGGAUAUCCAAAACCAAAAACUUGCUACCAAAAUAAAAAUGUUUAAAGCUUAUCCCAAGUCUGAGCUCACUUAUACUUAUCUAUAGGGAAAAGAGAGGGAGAGAAAGUCAGAAAUGGUUGGGGAAGGGGAGGGAAUGCAUUUAAGAACCCCCCCCCCCCCCCAAAAAAUAAAUAAAUAAAUAAAACCAGGGAGUUUUGCUACAUUAAUAAAUUGGGAUUCGGAAUUAUGGUGGAGCGGGGAUGUUAGCUGGUUAUCUUCCCAUAAGGUAGGAGCAGAGAGGGAAGACCUUUUGUGGGGAGAUACUGCUCCUGCCCUGAAAAGGAAGCCCCAACUUAAUGGGGCCCCAAUCCAGUCCCCUGCCUUCUUCUCCCCCUAACUUCCUAAACUCCACUCCUGGAUCCUGGCUAGCUGACAGUUACUUUGCAGUCUGUUUUCAUGGGGUUACACUUCUGGGGUGGGCAGGUCACACCCCCAAAUGUGGGGGUUGGAGUGGGCUUGGUUUAUUGCCUAUCACAUCACCUUGCUGCCCCCUGGGCAGUAAAGAGGAGUGGAAAGUUUGUCUACACAAAAACCCACCCUGGGGUUGAAUAAUUUUAAGCCACCUAAAGUAUUUUUAAAACUAAUGUGUUAGUUUGUCAAUGAUCCAAAGGUUAAACACUCCAGGAGGAUCCUAAAAUUAUGAUGUAACAAGGCCCUAACAAAGCCAGCCCCCCACAAAAUAAUUUCUUCAGCAGGUUUUUUUUUUUGUUUUGUUUUGUUUUUUUUUAUGGUCUAAAUAGACUGUUGAUUUGAUAGGUAAUACUUAGAUAUUGAUGUACUGUGCCAAAAGUCUCAAUCCUCAGUGGACCAUUUAAGCUCAGAACUGAAGAACAGAGGCUCAUAGUCAUUGAAAAUAUCCUCUGGAAUCUCAUGCCUUUCAAAUAUGGCCUUAAGGUUGGCUGCCACUGAUUGUCCAGUACUAUUUGGAAAAAUCAUACUUCUGGAUAUAGCAAAUAAUAGUCUAUAAAAAUAUGUGUUUGAAUUCAACACAAAUAAAUCAAUAUCAACCUUUCAUAUAUCCUAGAUGGAACAGGUUGAGGUUGUAGUGGCUCAGUCUGCUAACAUGGCUGAACCUUAAACAGUUGUAACUGUUUUCUACUAUGUUUGUAAUGUCAUUAUUUAUCUUGGGCCAGUACAUCACUUUGGGUGCUCACUUUUUAUAUUUCUUGAUUCUUUAAUGGCCCCCAUGCUUCUUCUGCAGCAAUUCUUUUAGGAGGUUCCUCAGUGCCACCAAUUUAGUGCCUUUAAAAAAUAUCCUUUCUGCCACAAAUGUCUGCAAUUCCAGUAAUCUGAUACAUCUGUGUUGCAGUCACUUUUGUAAUCUGGCCAACUUUUAACUAUAAAUUCUUUCAAGAGUGCCAAUGAAUUUCGUUUCUGUUAUUUGCUGCAGCUUCCUACCUGCUAUAAGGAGUGACUUGACAAUUAAGUCUAUAUAAGCCUUCAUGUCUGUCUCAAAAGUCUUUUCUGGUCUCCUAGUCAUGUGUAGCUCAAGACAGUGCAUCCACAGUAAAUAUAAGUUUACCUGGUGCGUACAUCACAAUUAAAUCAUAUUUUUGCAGAUUGAACAUCAUUCUUUGAAUGAGCAAGAUCAACCAUUUAAAGGCUUGUUAAAUAAUGGUAUCAGGUGACUGUAGUCUGUUUUCACACAUGCCUGACCAUACGUAUAACAGUGAAAUAUCUCAUAUGCAAAUGUACUAUGUACCGAUCACCGGAUUCAGUAAAUACAGGCAUAUGGGAAUGAGAAGAAUUAAAAAGCAGGUAAUAAAGAAAUAAAUGCAAGUUUUAUUUGUGGAGCACUAAGCAAGUUUCUGCAGUCCUUUAGUCUCUGACUAACUGACCUGUGGAACCAUCUCCCACAUCCCAACCACAGUAGUCUUUCAAGUAAGGGAACAUCUCCAAAUUACAAUUUAUAUCUCUACAACUGGAAAUCCUUAUCUGAAUGUACCUGUUAUUAAAAAUUAUUCUAUUUUGAUCAAGUCCAUUUAAAGAUCAGUCAGAGGGUUGGGCUGGUUCUACUGUUUUCAGAACCAAUUCAAAUAUUUGUGAUACAACCUUUAAAAAAUGGAUAAGGACCUAAAGCCAUGUUAUGCCUUCCAAAGAUAGAAAAUGUAAUUGUACUAUAUUUGUAUUAAAAUAAAAAGCCUCUAUUGUCCCACCUCGUGCCACCAUUGCUGUAGACUGUGGUAUGUUUGCAAUUCAUUGUAUUUUAUUUUUAUCACAUGUUAACCAAGAGCAGGUCCAUAAUGCUCCAAGUACUAUAGCAUACUAGAAAGCCCUAUCCCAAGAUACUUACAGUGAAAGGCAGGUGGAGUGAAAUGAAUGGACUGUGGGGGACUGGAUAAGAGGGACUUGAAUUAAACAGUCAAUCAGAAAGUUGGAGUGAGAAUUGUGGAAAACAUGGUGAUGACAGGGCUGGCUGGAGUAUUUCUUGGCCUGGGAUGGAAGAAGGGGGUGCCUACCUUAAAUGCAUCUCUUGCCCAAAAGCAGAAAUCUUGGGGAAGUGAAUUCAUGUUUGUAGGAAGGGCACCCCUGCACAAUUCUGAAUCUGGAGCAAAAAGGUAGCUCUGUCCCAGAAAACUUUAUUCACCUUCUUAAAAAAAAAGAUUUUUCUUUUUACCAAAAAACCCCCAAAUCUAUCUGUGGGGCAUACAUUACUGACUUUUUUGGUAUUUGAUAUCAUCACUUUAAGUAUAAGGAACAUCUCUCAAACUAGAAGUAACUUCUUAACCAGUUGUAUCAUGAUCAAACUGCUGGGAACCUAAAAUAAGAUUAGAUACUAAGCAAAUAUUUCAAGCAGUAAGGUCAAUUAG